rnacentral:rRNA from 1 species
AACGUAGGAGACAAACGUUAUCCGGAGUUACUGGGCGUAAAGGGCGUGUAGGUGGUUUCGUAAGUCUGGCGUGAAAUUUUUCGGCUUAACCGGGAAAGGUCGUCGGAUACUGCGGAACUAGAGGACGGUAGAGGCGUGUGGAAUUCCGGGUGUAGUGGAUGAAAUGCGUAGAGAUCCGGAGGAACACCAGUGGCGAAGGCGACACGCUGGGCCGUACCUGACACUGAUGCGCGACAGCAUGGGGAGCAAACAGG